rnacentral:antisense_RNA from 14 species
AAUAACCAAAUAUAACACUUGGGUUAAGUGUUAUGUUUGUAAUUUUUCUUACAUCUCCACCGCCGGGAGCCCAGGUAUCAUAUACACCACCGAAAUACAAAGCCUUGAGCACUAGGAGGAAAGCGCCAGCACCUAGCAAGAUUAGGUGAAUACCCAAAAUUGUGGUCAUUUUGUUCCUAUCUUUCCA